GGACCCGCACAAGUAGUGGAGCAUGUGGUUUAAUUCGAAGAUACGCGCAGAACCUUACCAACACUUGACAUGUUCGUCGCGACUUUAAGAGAUUAAAGUUUUCGGUUCGGCCGGACGAAACACAGGUGCUGCAUGGCUGUCGUCAGCUCGUGUCGUGAGAUGUUGGGUUAAGUCCCGCAACGAGCGCAACCCUCACUUUUAGUUGCCAUCAUUUAGUUGGGCACUCUAGAGAGACGCCGGUGAUAAGCCGGAGGAAGGUGGGGAUGACGUCAAGUCCUCAUGGCCUUUAUGUCCAGGGCUACACACGUGUUACAAUGGGGGUGACAAAGAGUGGCCAAGCUGCGAAGCUGCG
rnacentral:rRNA from 1 species